rnacentral:rRNA from 1 species
UUGUUUGGAGAGUUUGAUUCUGGCUCAGGACGAACGCUGGCGGCGUGCUUAACACAUGCAAGUCGAACGGAAAGGCCCUUCGGGGUACU